GGGGAUUUAGCUCAGUGGUAGAGCGCUUGCCUAGCAAGCGCAAGGCCCUGGGUUCGGUCCCCAGCCCCCCCU
rnacentral:tRNA from 1 species